rnacentral:lncRNA from 1 species
GAUGGGUUUAUAAUGGGCUUUUCCCUGCUUCACUCAGCACUUCUCCCUCAUGACACCAUGUGAAGAAGGAUGUGUUUGCUUUUCCUUCCACCGUGAUUGUAAGUUUCCUGAGGCCUCCUCAGCACUGUGGAACUGUUAUGCCAUAACAAGCAAAGAUUUGUGGAUUUGUGAGACAUAAAAAUGUUUAUGAUGUGCAACUCUAGCCACCAGGAGCCAACAUUCUUUCAGUGGAUAAAAAGGAGUUCCAAUACUUUUUCUUACUAAGGAAAUGGAUUGCAAGGGAUGGUGAAUUAUUAAAAUAGUAAGUGUCCAAUGAAUGUUUGUCAAUUGAAGUCAAACUGUUCUGAGAAAUAAUGACAAGGCAUCAUUCUGAGGUUUAAUUGGAGAAGUCUUGUCCCAAACUCCACUCAAACGUGAAGGAAGGGCAGUAUAACCCAGCAGUUAAGAGCAUUCACUUUGGAAACAGCCAUAGUUGGGACAGAAUCCAGUCUUUACCACUGACUAACUAAAGGACACUAAAUUUUAGAGUCUUCUUCCUGGGCAUAAUACUUGUGAAGUGAAAUCAGGCUUGCAAAGUGCAAGGUCUAUGUUUGUUUUGUACAUAGUA